rnacentral:rRNA from 1 species
UACGUAGGGUGCGAGCGUUGUCCGGAAUUAUUGGGCGUAAAGAGCUCGUAGGCGGUUUGUUGCGUCGGCCGUGAAAACCUGCAGCUUAACUGUGGGCCUGCGGCCGAUACGGGCAGACUUGAGUUCGGUAGGGGAGACUGGAAUUCCUGGUGUAGCGGUGAAAUGCGCAGAUAUCAGGAGGAACACCGGUGGCGAAGGCG